AGCAGAGUGGCGCAGUGGUAGCGUGUUGGACGCAAGACCUAGAAGUCUGUGGAUCGAAACCACGCUCCGCUA